GAACAGGUUUCCGUAGGUGAACCUGCGGAAGGAUCAUUAUUGAAUAAACCUGAUGGGUUGUUGCUGGUUCUCUAGGGAGCAUGUGCACACCUUGUCAUCUUUAUAUCUCCACCUGUGCACUUUUUGUAGACCUUUCAGGUCUAUGUUGCUUCAUUUACCCCAAUGUAUGUUAAUAGAAUGUUGUGACUAUAUAAUAUAUACAACUUUCAGCAACGGAUCUCUUGGCUCUCGCAUCGAUGAAGAACGCAGCGAAAUGCGAUAAGUAAUGUGAAUUGCAGAAUUCAGUGAAUCAUCGAAUCUUUGAACGCACCUUGCGCUCCUUGGUAUUCCGAGGAGCAUGCCUGUUUGAGUGUCAUUAAUAUAUCAACCUUCUCUUUUUUGAGUUGUUUGGAUGUGGGGGUUUGCUGGACUCUUAAAUGGAUUCAGCUCCCCUGAAAUGCAUUAGCAGAACAACCUGUUCAUUGGCGUGAUAAUUAUCUAUGCUAUUGAAUAUGAGGGCAGUUCAGCUUUCUAACUGUCCUCGGACAAUUUAUCAUUAAUGUGACCUCAAAUCAGGUAGGACUACCCCCUGAACUUAAGCAUAUCAAUAGC
rnacentral:rRNA from 1 species